rnacentral:rRNA from 1 species
CCGCCAGGGUACUACGAGCUACAGCUUAAAACCCAAAGGACUUGGCGGUGCCCCACACCCACCUAGAGGAGCCUGUUCUAUAAUCGAUAACCCCCGCUAAACCUCACCACUUAUUGCCAAUACCGCCUAUAUACCACCGUCGCCAGCCCACCCUGUGAAGGACUUCAAGUAGGCACAAUGGUCACCACCAAAACGUCAGGUCAAGGUGUAGCACAUGAAGUGGGAAGAAAUGGGCUACAUUUUCUACCCUAGAACAAACGAACGAUCAUUAUGAAACAUGCUCAGAAGGUGGAUUUAGCAGUAAAAAGGAACAAAAGAGUCCUUUUUAAUCCGGCCCUGGGCGCGU